rnacentral:rRNA from 1 species
UACGUAGGGUGCGAGCGUUAAUCGGAAUUACUGGGCGUAAAGCGUGCGCAGGCGGUUUUGUAAGUCUGUCGUGAAAUCCCCCGGGCUUAACCUGGGAAUUGCGAUGGAGACUGCAAGGCUAGAAUCUGGCAGAGGGGGGUAGAAUUCCACGUGUAGCAGUGAAAUGCGUAGAGAUGUGGAGGAACACCGAUGGCGAAGGCAGCCCCCUGGGUCAAGAUUGACGCUCAUGCACGAAAGCGUGGGGAGCAACAGG